rnacentral:rRNA from 1 species
UACGGGGGGGGUAAGCGUUGUUCGGAAUUACUGGGCGUAAAGGGCUCGUAGGUGGCCAACUAAGUCAGACGUGAAAUCCCCAGGCUCAACCUGGGAACUGCGUCUGAUACUGGAUGGCUUGAAUUCGGGAGAGGGAUGCAGAAUUCCAGGUGUAGCGGUGAAAUGCGUAGAUAUCUGGAGGAAUACCGGUGGCGAAGGCGGCAUCCUGGACCGAUAUUGACACUGAUGAGCGAAAGCCAGGGGAGCAAACGGG